UACAGAGGGUGCGAGCGUUUUUCGGAUUUACUGGGCGUAAAGCGCACGUAGGCGGUCUUGUAAGAUGGGGGUGAAAUCCCCGGGCUCAACCCGGGAACUGCCUUCAUGACUGCAAAGCUAGAGGAUGCGAGAGGUUGGCGGAAUUCCGAGUGUAGAGGUGAAAUUCGUAGAUAUUCGGAAGAACACCAGUGGCGAAGGCGGCCAACUGGCGCAUUUCUGACGCUGAGGUGCGAAAGCGUGGGGAGCAAACAGG
rnacentral:rRNA from 1 species